rnacentral:rRNA from 1 species
UACGUAGGGUGCAAGCGUUGUCCGGAAUUAUUGGGCGUAAAGGGCUCGUAGGCGGUCUGUCACGUCGGGAGUGAAAACACGGGGCUUAACCCCGUGCCUGCUUCCGAUACGGGCAGACUAGAGGUAUGCAGGGGAGAACGGAAUUCCUGGUGUAGCGGUGAAAUGCGCAGAUAUCAGGAGGAACACCGGUGGCGAAGGCGGUUCUCUGGGCAUGUUCUGACGCUGAGGAGCGAAAGUGUGGGGAGCGAACAGG